rnacentral:rRNA from 1 species
CAAGUCGAGCGAGAAAAGGGGGGCAACUCCCUGAGUACAGCGGCGCACGGGUGAGUAACACGUGGGUAAUCUGCCCUGAAGUGGGGAAUAACACCGGGAAACCGGUGCUAAUACCGCAUACGAUCACGAGGUCUGCGGAUUUUGUGAUGAAAGGAGCAAUUCGCUUUAGGAGGAGCCCGCGGCUGAUUAGCUAGUUGGUGAGGUAAUGGCUCACCAAGGCAACGAUCAGUAUCCGGUCUGAGAGGACGGUCGGACACACUGGAACUGAGACACGGUCCAGACUCCUACGGGAGGCAGCAGUGGGGAAUUUUUGGCAAUGGGGGCAACCCUGACCAAGCAACGCCGCGUGGGUGAUGAAGUCUCUUGGGACGUAAAACCCUUUCGACGGGGAAGAAACCGCAAGGUUGACGGUACCCGUAGAAGAAGCCCCGGCUAACUCCGUGCCAGCAGCCGCGGUAAUACGGGGGGGGCAAGCGUUGUUCGGAAUUACUGGGCGUAAAGGGCGCGUAGGCGGUUCGCUAAGUUGGAUGUGAAAACUCUGGGCUCAACCCAGAGCCUGCAUCCAAAACUGGCGGGCUAGAGUUCUGGAGGGGGUAGCGGAAUUCCUGGUGUAGCGGUGAAAUGCGUAGAUAUCAGGAGGAACACCGGUGGCGAAGGCGGCUACCUGGACAGAAACUGACGCUGAGGCGCGAAAGCUAGGGGAGCAAACAGGAUUAGAUACCCUGGUAGUCCUAGCCCUAAACGAUGGAUACUUGGUGUGACGGGGAUUGAAUCCCGUCGUGCCGAAGCUAACGCAUUAAGUAUCCCGCCUGGGGAGUACGGUCGCAGGCUGAAA